rnacentral:rRNA from 1 species
GUGAGGAAUAUUGCGCAAUGGAGGCAACUCUGACGCAGCCAUGCCGCGUGCAGGAAGAAGGCGCUACGCGUUGUAAACUGUUUUUAACCGGGAAGAAACCCCAGGACGUGUCCUGGGUUGACGGUACCGGAGGAAUAAGCACCGGCUAACUUCGUGCCAGCAGCCGCGGUAAUACGAAGGGUGCAAGCGUUAUUCGGAUUCAUUGGGUUUAAAGGGUGCGGAGGCGGAGCGUUAAGUCAGUGGGGAAAUCCUGCAGCUUAACUGUAGACUUGCCAUUGAUACUGGCGCUCUUGAGUGCGCUUGAAGUGGGCGGAAUGUGCCGUGUAGCGGUGAAAUGCUUAGAUAUGGCACAGAACACCAAUUGCGAAGGCAGCUCACUAAGGCGAUACUGACGCUGAGGCACGAAAGCGUGGGGAUCGAACAGGAUUAGAUACCCUGGUAGUCC